rnacentral:rRNA from 1 species
GACGAACGCUGGCGGCGUGCUUAACACAUGCAAGUCGAACGAUGAAGCCGGAGCUUGCUCUGGUGAAUUAGUGGCGAACGGGUGAGUAACACAUGAGUAACCUGCCCUUGACUCUGGGAUAACUGCGGGAAACUGUAGCUAAUACCGGAUACGACCCUCGGAGGCAUCUCCUGGGGGUGGAAGGAAUUUCGGUCAAGGAUGGACUCGCGGCCUAUCAGCUAGUUGGUGAGGUAAAGGCUCACCAAGGCGACGACGGGUAGCCGGCCUGAGAGGGUGACCGGCCACACUGGGACUGAGACACGGCCCAGACUCCUACGGGAGGCAGCAGUGGGGAAUAUUGCACAAUGGGCGCAAGCCUGAUGCAGCAACGCCGCGUGAGGGAUGACGGCCUUCGGGUUGUAAACCUCUUUUAGCAGGGAAGAAGCGAAAGUGACGGUACCUGCAGAAAAAGCACCGGCUAACUACGUGCCAGCCGCCGCAGUAA